rnacentral:rRNA from 1 species
GCUGGCUCCCUUGAUCCGCUUGCGCCGAAUUGUGGUGUGUUCACGUUUUCCGCAGGGAGUUGUGGGAUUAGCCAAGGGGGAAUCCAUGAAGCUAAUAUUGGUGGGAGACCGAUAGCGUACAGUACCGUGAGGAAAGAUGCAAAGAACUUUGAAAAGAGAGUUAAAAAAUGCUGAAAAAGCGAAGGAAACCAGUGUCAUCCCCGUCAUACUUCUUGCUCGCUUGCGGGCAGGGCGCUGUGCUGAUUGGUCAGGCUUGGUU